rnacentral:rRNA from 1 species
UACGGAAGGCAGCAGUGGGGAAUAUUGCACAAUGGGCGCAAGCCUGAUGCAGCCAUGCCGCGUGUAUGAAGAAGGCCUUCGGGUUGUAAAGUACUUUCAGCGGGGAGGAAGGCGAUGCGGUUAAUAACCGCGUCGAUUGACGUUACCCGCAGAAGAAGCACCGGCUAACUCCGUGCCAGCAGCCGCGGUAAUACGGAGGGUGCAAGCGUUAAUCGGAAUUACUGGGCGUAAAGCGCACGCAGGCGGUCUGUUAAGUCAGAUGUGAAAUCCCCCGGGCUUAAACCUGGGAACUGCAUUUUGAAACUGGCAGGCUUGAGUCUUGUAGAGGGGGUUAGAAUUCCAGGUGUAGCGGUGAAAUGCGUAGAGAUCUGGAGGAAUACCGGUGGCGAAGGCGGCCCCUGGACAAAGACUGACGCUCAGGUGCGAAAGCGUGGGGAGCAAACAGGAUUAGAUACC